rnacentral:rRNA from 1 species
UUUGAGAGUUUGAUCCUGGCUCAGGAUGAACGCUGGCGGAGUGCCUUAAGCAUGCAAGUGAAACGGGUACGUUCGUGCGCAAGCACCGAACGUACUAGUCGCAGACGGGUGAGUAAUACAUAGGAAUCUACCCAUUGGUGUGGAAUAACUAGCCGAAAGGCUGGCUAAUACCGCAUAAUCUCGUGACAUGAGUAAAGGGCGUAACUGCCCGCCGAUGGAGGAGCCUAUGUCCUAUCAGUUAGUUGGUGGGGUAAUGGCCUACCAAGACUAUGACGGGUAGCUGGACUGAGAAGUUGGUCAGCCACAAUAGCACUGAGACACGGGCUAUACAUCUACGGAUGGCAGCAACUGGGAAUAUUGCGCAAUGGACGAAAGUCUGACGCAGCGACUCCGCGUGAGGGAUGAAGGCCUUAGGGUCGUAAACCUCUUUUGACAGGGAAGUCCCGAUUUAAUCGGGAGACGGUACCUGUAGAAUAAGCACCUGCUAACCACGUGCCAGCAGCCGCGGUAAUACGUGGGGUGCAAGCGUUAUCCGGAUUUAUUGGGCGUAAAGAGUUCGUAGGUUUUUUGUUAAGUUCCGUUUGAAAUCCCGAGGCUCAACCUCGGACCCGGACGGAAAACUAGCAAAAUUGAGUUUGUCAGGGGGCACUGGAAUUGACGGUGUAGCAGUGAAAUGCGUUGAUAUCGUCAAGAACACCAAGGACGAAGGUAGGUGCCUGGGACACAACUGACACUGAGGAACGAAAGCUAGGGGAGCGAAACAGAUUAGAGACCUGUGUAGUCCUAGCCGUAAACGAUGUCCGUUUGAUCUUCGGGCGCAAGCCUGGGGGUCGGAGCUAACGCGUUAAACGGACCGCCUGGGGAGUACGGUCGCAAGACUAAAACUCAAAGGAAUUGACGGGAAAGAGCACAACCAGGGGAGCAUGUGGUUUAAUUCGAUACUAAGCGAAAGACCUUACCCAGAUUUGACAUGAUACCGUUCACCUAACUGGAAACAGAUGGGGAUCAGCAAUGAUGGUAUCACAGCUGCUGCAUGGCUAUCGUCAGCUCGUGCCGUGGGGUGUCUGCUUAAGUGCAGGAACGAGCGCAACCCCUACCCAAUGUUCAAUGGUCAUUGGGAACUGCCCCGCCUUUGCGGGGAGGAAGGAGGGGAUGAUGUUAAGUCAGCAUGGCGCUUAUAUCUGGGGCGACACACAUCCUACAAUGGGAAGGAACAAUGAGUUGCCAAACCGCAAGGUGGAGCUAAUCUCAACAAAACUUCCCUCAGUUCAGAUUGGGGGCUGCAACCCGCCCCCAUGAAGAUGGACUUGGUAGUAAUCGCGGAUCAGCAGGCCGCGGUGAAUACGUUCUCUCUUUUUGUACACACCGCCCAUCAAGCCAGCAAAGUUAAACAAGGUAUCCCUAGCCGAAGCUGGGGAUGGAUCACCUCCUU